GGUGGUCCUGCCCUUCCGCAGGGAGAGCCUGGCUGAGGAGCACGAGGGGCUCGUGGGUGAGGGGCAGAGGUCCAGCUUCCUGCCCAGCUACAUCAUCGACGUGCGGGCCCUAGACGAGAAGCUGCUCAACAUCAUCGACCUGCAGUUCCUGCAUGGCUACUACGAGCCUACCCUCCUCAUCCUGUUUGAGCCCAACCAGACCUGGCCUGGGCGCGUGGCCGUGCGGCAGGACACGUGCUCCAUUGUGGCCAUCUCACUGAACAUCACGCAGAAGGUGCACCCCGUCAUCUGGUCCCUCACCAGCCUGCCCUUUGACUGCACCCAGGCUCUGGCUGUGCCCAAGCCCAUAGGUGUGUGUCCUGGGAGUGGAUAGGGGAGUGUGUGGAGAGAGCACUGAGCCUGCCCACCAGCCUGUGUCCACCUCCAGGUGGGGUGGUGGUGUUUGCCGUCAACUCGCUGUUGUACCUGAACCAGAGCGUCCCCCCGUAUGGCGUGGCUCUCAACAGCCUCACCACAGGAACCACGGCUUUCCCGCUUCGCACCCAGGAGGGUGUGCGGAUCACCCUGGACUGCGCCCAGGCCACCUUCAUCUCCUACGACAAGAUGGUCAUCUCCCUCAAGGGCGGCGAGAUCUACGUGCUGACCCUCAUCACCGACGGCAUGCGCAGUGUCCGAGCGUUCCACUUUGACAAGGCGGCCGC
rnacentral:lncRNA from 1 species